rnacentral:rRNA from 1 species
AGAGUUUGAUCCUGGCUCAGGAUGAACGCUGGCGGCGUGCUUAACACAUGCAAGUCGAACGAACCUUCGGGUUAGUGGCGGACGGGUGAGUAACGCGUGAGAAUCUGCCCUCAGGAGGGGGAUAACGGUUGGAAACGACCGCUAAUACCCCAUAUGCCGAGAGGUGAAAUGAAUUUCGCCUGAGGAUGAGCUCGCGUCUGAUUAGUUAGUUGGUGGGGUAAUGGCCUACCAAGACAUCGAUCAGUAGCUGGUCUGAGAGGAUGAUCAGCCACACUGGGACUGAGACACGGCCCAGACUCCUACGGGAGGCAGCAGUGGGGAAUUUUCCGCAAUGGGCGAAAGCCUGACGGAGCAACGCCGCGUGAGGGAUGAAGGCCUCUGGGCUGUAAACCUCUUUUAUCAAGGAAGAAGAUCUGACGGUACUUGAUGAAUAAGCCACGGCUAAUUCCGUGCCAGCAGCCGCGGUAAUACGGGAGUGGCAAGCGUUAUCCGGAAUUAUUGGGCGUAAAGCGUCCGCAGGCGGUCUUUUAAGUCUGUUGUUAAAGCGUGGAGCUUAACUCCAUUUCAGCAAUGGAAACUGGAAGACUAGAGUGUGGUAGGGGCAGAGGGAAUUCCCGGUGUAGCGGUGAAAUGCGUAGAUAUCGGGAAGAACACCAGUGGCGAAGGCGCUCUGCUGGGCCAUAACUGACGCUCAUGGACGAAAGCCAGGGGAGCGAAAGGGAUUAGAUACCCCUGUAGUCCUGGCCGUAAACGAUGAACACUAGGUGUCGGGGGAAUCGACCCCCUCGGUGUCGUAGCCAACGCGUUAAGUGUUCCGCCUGGGGAGUACGCACGCAAGUGUGAAACUCAAAGGAAUUGACGGGGGCCCGCACAAGCGGUGGAGUAUGUGGUUUAAUUCGAUGCAACGCGAAGAACCUUACCAGGGUUUGACAUCCUGCGAAUCUUUUGGAAACAGAAGAGUGCCUUCGGGAACGCAGUGACAGGUGGUGCAUGGCUGUCGUCAGCUCGUGUCGUGAGAUGUUGGGUUAAGUCCCGCAACGAGCGCAACCCACGUCUUUAGUUGCCAGCAUUUAGUUGGGCACUCUAGAGAGACCGCCGGUGAUAAACCGGAGGAAGGUGUGGAUGACGUCAAGUCAUCAUGCCCCUUACAUCCUGGGCUACACACGUACUACAAUGCUACGGACAAAGGGCAGCAAACUCGCGAGAGCUAGCAAAUCCCAUAAACCGUGGCUCAGUUCAGAUCGUAGGCUGCAACUCGCCUACGUGAAGGAGGAAUCGCUAGUAAUCGCAGGUCAGCAUACUGCGGUGAAUACGUUCCCGGGCCUUGCACUCACCGCCCGUC